UUUAGUAUCGCUUAUAAAGGCUCACAGAUUUUCCCUAAAAAGGAAGUAAACACUGCAGAAAUAUGCAUAAAGUACAACUACAAGGAAUAAGGAAUCAUCACUUCAGUGAGUGUCAGGUAUGCAAGACAAGUCAGUGAUGUGCAACUCAUCUUGGACCCAGACAAUGCCAUUACUCGAAGGCAGUUACAACAUUAUUGUCAGUACAUAAAAUGCACUGCAUACAUCUGCUACACCAAUCAGUCUGUGAAAUAAAUAAUCCAGUGAUGCAAAGCACUAGUAAA